rnacentral:rRNA from 1 species
AGUGAACGCUGGCGGUAGGCCUAACACAUGCAAGUCGAACGGCAGCACAGGAGAGCUUGCUCUCUGGGUGGCGAGUGGCGGACGGGUGAGGAAUACAUCGGAAUCUACUCUGUCGUGGGGGAUAACGUAGGGAAACUUACGCUAAUACCGCAUACGACCUACGGGUGAAAGCAGGGGAUCCUCGGACCUUGCGCGAUUGAAUGAGCCGAUGUCGGAUUAGCUAGUUGGCGGGGUAAAGGCCCACCAAGGCGACGAUCCGUAGCUGGUCUGAGAGGAUGAUCAGCCACACUGGAACUGAGACACGGUCCAGACUCCUACGGGAGGCAGCAGUGGGGAAUAUUGGACAAUGGGCGCAAGCCUGAUCCAGCCAUACCGCGUGGGUGAAGAAGGCCUUCGGGUUGUAAAGCCCUUUUGUUGGGAAAGAAAUCCAGCUGGUUAAUACCCGGUUGGGAUGACGGUACCCAAAGAAUAAGCACCGGCUAACUUCGUGCCAGCAGCCGCGGUAAUACGAAGGGUGCAAGCGUUACUCGGAAUUACUGGGCGUAAAGCGUGCGUAGGUGGUUAUUUAAGUCCGUUGUGAAAGCCCUGGGCUCAACCUGGGAACUGCAGUGGAUACUGGAUGACUAGAAUGUGGUAGAGGGUAGCGGAAUUCCUGGCGUAGCAGUGAAAUGCGUAGAGAUCAGGAGGAACAUCCAUGGCGAAGGCAGCUACCUGGACCAACAUUGACACUGAGGCACGAAAGCGUGGGGAGCAAACAGG